CCUACGGGAGGCUGCAGUGGGGGAUAUUGCACAAUGGGGGAAACCCUGAUGCAGCGACGCCGCGUGUGGGAAGACGGUCCUCUGGAUUGUAAACCACUGUCCCCAGGGACGAAGAUGACGGUACCUUGGGAGUAAGCUCCGGCUAACUACGUGCCAGCAGCCUCGGUAAUACGUAGGGAGCAAGCGGUGUCCGGAAUUACUGGGUGUAAAGGGAGCGUAGGCGGGAUGGCAAGUUGGGUGUUAAAUCUACCGGCUCAACUGGUAUUCGCACUCAAAACUGCUAUUCUUGAGUGAAGUAGAGGCAGGCGGAAUGCGUAGUGUAGCGGUGAAAUGCGUAGAUAUUAGGAGGAACACCAGUGGCGAAGGCGGCAUGCUGGGGUUUUACUGACGCUGAGGCUCGAAAGUGUGGGGAGCAAACAGGAUUAGAUACCCUUGUAGUC
rnacentral:rRNA from 1 species